AUUGAACGCUGGCGGCAUGCCUAAUACAUGCAAGUCGAACGGAAGCAGCAAUGCUUUAGUGGCGAACGGGUGAGUAACACGUAGGGAACCUACCUAUACGACGAGGAUAACUACUGGAAACGGUAGCUAAAACUGGAUAGGAUCAAUUGAGGCAUCUUGAUUGAUUUAAAGAUCCUUCGGGAUUACGUAGAGAUGGCCCUGCGGCGCAUUAGCUAGUUGGUGAGGUAACGGCCCACCAAGGCGACGAUGCGUAGCUGAGCUGAGAGGCUAAACAGCCACACUGGGACUGAGACACGGCCCAGACUCCUACGGGAGGCAGCAGUAGGGAAUUUUCGGCAAUGGGGGAAACCCUGACCGAGCAAUGCCGCGUGAACGAUGAAGGUCUUCGGAUUGUAAAGUUCUGUGAUUGGGGAAGAAUGGUAUUCUUAGGGAAUGAGGAGUACAUGACGGUACCCGAUUAGAAAGCCCCGGCUAACUAUGUGCCAGCAGCCGCGGU
rnacentral:rRNA from 1 species